GGAGUACGCACGCAAGUGUGAAACUCAAAGGAAUUGACGGGGGCCCGCACAAGCGGUGGAGUAUGUGGUUUAAUUCGAUGCAACGCGAAGAACCUUACCAGGGUUUGACAUCCUGCGAAUCUCUUGGAAACAGGAGAGUGCCUGCGGGAACGCAGUGACAGGUGGUGCAUGGCUGUCGUCAGCUCGUGUCGUGAGAUGUUGGGUUAAGUCCCGCAACGAGCGCAACCCACGUCUUUAGUUGCCAGCAUUUAGUUGGGCACUCUAGAGAGACUGCCGGUGAUAAACCGGAGGAAGGUGUGGAUGACGUCAAGUCAUCAUGCCCCUUACAUCCUGGGCUACACACGUACUACAAUGCUACGGACAAAGGGCAGCAAGUUCGCGAGGACAAGCAAAUCCCAUAAACCGUGGCUCAGUUCAGAUCGUAGGCUGCAACUCGCCUACGUGAAGGCGGAAUCGCUAGUAAUCGCAGGUCAGCAUACUGCGGUGAAUACGUUCCCGGGCCUUGUACACACCGCCCGUCACACCAUGGAAGUUGGCCACGCCCGAAGCCGUUACUCCAACCCUUGUGGA
rnacentral:rRNA from 1 species